CGCGUAUUUUACAACUUCAUAUUUACAGCUGAGAUGGCCGAUUAACGGAUGAGUGUUGUGAUUGCAUCAAUGGUUGAGGUCAGGGCUACUUAAGGUCCUGUGGGCUGCAGUGUCCUCAACUUAGUUCUAACAAUUCACUACACCACCUGAUUACAGUAAUGGCUACUUCCUGAACCAAUGAGGUAAAUGGGCAAAAUCAAGUUGCUGUAGUGCAUGGUAGGAGCGAAAUGCCUGCAAUCUGGCUCCCAACACCUGGAAUCUAGCCUUUGUUUAGGUCUUUAGGCCAUUCACUGGAGUGUUACAAGUGUGACAUUGGAUUCUGGCAAUUGUGUUUCACCUCGAGGACCACAUGCAGCCCAGGAGAGAAGUGUUUCCGUGGGGUUGGACAAGCUGCACAUGUUAUUGACAUCAUGAAGAAAGGCUGUCUUAAACAAGAUGAGUGUGACCAGGUGUCCACAGUGGAGUUCUUUGCAAACAGGACCAUCUACACCAUGAACAACACGUGCUGUGCAACAGAUCU